ensembl:snRNA U1 U1 spliceosomal RNA
AUGCUUACCUGGCAGGUGAGAUACCAUGAUCAUGAAGGUGGUUUUCCUAGGACGAGGCUUAUCCAUUGCACUCUGGAUGUGCUCAACCCUGUGAUUUCCCCAAAUGUGGAAAACUUGACUGCAUAAUUUCUGUUAGUGAGGGCCUGUAUCCUCCCUCU